rnacentral:rRNA from 1 species
GUCUUUUUGUUAAUAAUUUAAAGUCGAAUCUGCCCACUGAUUAAAAAUUAAAGGGCUGCAGUAUAUUGACUGUACAAAGGUAGCAUAAUAAUUAGUCUUUUAAUUGGAGACUUGUAUGAAAGAUUUAAUGAGGUAUAAACUGUCUCUUUUUUAUAAUUUGAAUUUAAUUUUUUAGUAAAAAAGCUAAAAUUUAUUUAAAAGACGAGAAGACCCUAUAGAGUUUUAUAAUUAAUUUAAUUAUAAAUUUAUAUUUAAUUUUAAAGUUAAUUAAUUUAAUUAUUUUGUUGGGGUGAUAGAAAAAUUAAAAUAACUUUUUUUUAAAAAUAAACAUUAAUUAAUGAUUAAAUGAUCCAUUAUUUAUGAUUAUAAGAAAAAAUUACCUUAGGGAUAACAGCGUAAUUUUUUUUUUUAGUUCUUAUAAGAAAAAAAGUUUGCGACCUCGAUGUUGGAUUAAGAUAAAAUUUAAAUGCAGAAGUUUAAAAUUUUGAUCUGUUCGAUCAUUAAAAUCUUACA